AACGAACGCUGGCGGCAGGCUUAACACAUGCAAGUCGAACGCAUCCUUCGGGGUGAGUGGCAGACGGGUGAGUAACGCGUGGGAACGUGCCCUUCAGUUCGGGAUAACCCAGGGAAACUUGGGCUAUUACCGGAUACGUGCGAGAGCAGAAAGAUUUAUCGCUGAAGGAUCGGCCCGCGUCUGAUGAGCUAGUUGUUGGGGUAAUGGCCCACCAAGGCGACGAUCAGUUGCUGGUCUGAGAGGAUGAUCAGCCACAUUGAGACUGACACACGGCCCAAACUCCUACGGGAGGCAGCAGUGGGGAAUAUUGGACAAUGGGCGCAAGCCUGAUCCAGCCAUGCCGCGUGAGUGAUGAAGGCCUUAGGGUUGUAAAGCUCUUUCGUCCGGGACGAUAAUGACGGUACCGGAAGAAGAAGCCCCGGCUAACUUCGUGCCAGCCGCCGCAGUAA
rnacentral:rRNA from 1 species